rnacentral:rRNA from 1 species
GAGAUCUUUCGGGAUCUUGAGAGCGGCGUACGGGUGCGGAACACGUGUGCAACCUGCCUUUAUCUGGGGGAUAGCCUUUCGAAAGGAAGAUUAAUACCCCAUAAUAUACUGAAUGGCAUCAUUCGGUAUUGAAAACUCCGGUGGAUAGAGAUGGGCACGCGCAAGAUUAGAUAGUUGGUGAGGUAACGGCUCACCAAGUCUACGAUCUUUAGGGGGCCUGAGAGGGUGAUCCCCCACACUGGUACUGAGACACGGACCAGACUCCUACGGGAGGCAGCAGUGAGGAAUAUUGGACAAUGGGUGAGAGCCUGAUCCAGCCAUCCCGCGUGAAGGACGACGGCCCUAUGGGUUGUAAACUUCUUUUGUAUAGGGAUAAACCUACCCUCGUGAGGGUAGCUGAAGGUACUAUACGAAUAAGCACCGGCUAACUC